UACGUAGGGUGCGAGCGUUAAUCGGAAUUACUGGGCGUAAAGCGUGCGCAGGCGGCUUGCCAAGUCAGAUGUGAAAGCCCCGGGCUCAACCCGGGAACUGCGUUUGAAACUGGCAGGCUAGAGUUUGGCAGAGGGGGGGUGGAAUUCCACGUGUAGCAGUGAAAUGCGUAGAGAUGUGGAGGAACACCGAUGGCGAAGGCGGUUCUCUGGGCCUGUACUGACGCUGAGGAGCGAAAGCGUGGGGAGCGAACAGG
rnacentral:rRNA from 1 species